rnacentral:rRNA from 1 species
CGCAAUGGGGGCAACCCUGACGCAGCGACGCCGCGUGAGUGAGGAAGGCCUUCGGGUCGUAAAACUCUGUCAGAAGGGAAGAAGUGUUAGACGGUUAAUACCCGUGUAAUUUGACGGUACCUUCAAAGGAAGCACCGGCUAACUCCGUGCCAGCAGCCGCGGUAAUACGGAGGGUGCGAGCGUUGUUCGGAAUCACUGGGCGUAAAGGGCGCGCAGGCGGCGUGUUAAGUCAGAUGUGAAAUCCCACGGCUCAACCGUGGAAGUGCAUUUGAAACUGGCAUGCUUGAGUAUCAGAGGGGAAAGUGGAAUUCCCGGUGUAGAGGUGAAAUUUGUAGAUAUCGGGAGGAAUACCGGUGGCGAAGGCGACUUUCUGGCUGAAUACUGACGCUGAGGCGCGAAAGCGUGGGGAGCAAACAGGAUUAGAUACCCUGGUAGUCCACGCCGUAAACGAUGUGAACUAGAUGUUGAGGUGUUGAUCCCUUCGGU